rfam:Oryza sativa Japonica Group DNA, chromosome 10, cultivar: Nipponbare, complete sequence.
UAUAAACCCUGAUUUUCGUGCCCAACAUUUGACCGUCCGUCUUAUUUGAAAAAAUUAUGAAGAAAAUUAAAAAGACAAGUCACACAUAAAAUAUUAAUCAUGUUUUAUCAUCUAACAACAAUGAAAAUACGAAUUAUAAAAAAAUUUCAUAUAAGACGGAUAGUCAAAGUUGGACAUGGAAACUCAGGGUUUGCCUAUUU